GGGCGUGUGGCUCAGUUGGUAGAGCGUUCGCUUAGCAUAUUUGAGAAAAAUGAAGGCUCUCUGAUGUGAGAGGUGGAGUUCAAACGGUAUGCGAAAGGUCCUGGGUUCGAUUCCCAGCUCGUCCA